UCAAGAAUAGGCGUGGUGUCUGCAAC
rnacentral:sRNA from 1 species